rnacentral:lncRNA from 1 species
ACAAGAAAACAACUAUACCAAAAUUGGCUACGAAUCAGGUGCAAGGGCACAUAAAAGAAGCAGCAAUUAUUUCUGAUCAAAGGAUUAGAGAAGAAUGUGCACAGAAGGUGACACAGAAACUCAGCUUAGAAAAAUGUAUAUUUGCGGGGAGAUAAAGGGGAAGGUAUUACAAUGUGAGGCUGUAUAAGAUUCCAAAGCACAGAGAUAUGAAUGUGAAAGGCUUAAUUUGAGAAAGACAAAAUGUUCAUAGUGACUGAAACUUGUUAGCAGAACUUGCAUAGUGCUAGCUCUAAAGAGAAGUUUGGGCUCGGUUUAGAGGGACUUUGGCUGCCAUACUAGGGAGUUUGGAUUCCAUUCUACAGUGUGGAGGAAGAUUUUUUAAAAGCACCAUUUAGUAAACACUGUGGUUGCCUCCUCAACAUCUAUUCCCUACACUACCCCUAUUGUCCUUUCUAACCAAAUCCAUUUUUUUUUUAAAUCAGAUAAUCCACCUCUCCUUUAUGAGAUUCAGGGGACAAUGAAUUCAUCUCCAUUUCCAAGGAUAGAUCUGUAUUAGCUUAAAUCAGGCAGGCUAACUCAUACUUCUUGUGCUUCCAUGACAGACUCUUUCUGGGUUAUACGUAAUAAAUAUACAUAAACAAUAUUAUACUUCAUUGUCCAGCAUAUACAAGAGGCAAACACAAAUCAGAAAUAUUAUCUUUACCAGUGGUACAUGAGUCCAUUUUUUGUCAAAUAGAGAGCAAUUGCUGCAGUAAUUGCAGUUUAUCACUAAGCCAGAUGCAGGGGUUACUCAUACAUAUGCCUUCUAAUUGUGGGCUACUAUUAAUAGUCACUGGCCUCCUUCUUAAAUUAUUUUCAGUCAUGAGCUUAACUUAAUGUGGUACCAUAUAUUCUUUCUUUUAAGGACCUUAAGAAUCUGGGAAGAAUUAGCCACACUCUAAUUUAGGAACAGAGAUGGAUGAAUCCACCUAUGGACAUUUACUGGUAUGAGUCACUGGGGAAGUUCACUAAGUCACUAUUUAAGAUGAUCCAGAACAGGUGUCUACAGCUGCCUUAAGAAUGAGUACUAUGGUGGUGAUGAAAAUGUUCCUCUCAGAUGUCCAACUGCAGGGGGUGGGUAUGAAAUUGCCAGAUGGCCCCAGCUGGUGUGCUCUGGAAUCCUUGGCGCCAAGGCCAUGCUGCCAGGGGCUUCUCCAGGCUGGUGAUCAAAUGUAGUGAGGAUCCUCAGGCAGGCCCAUUCCUGGAAGACAUGGGACUCUCCCGAUAGGUCGGCUCCAAGGCUACACAAGCAGCAAGAAGAAAAGGAAAAACUCUGUUUUAUUAAAGCUCCACUUGCCUAUCUACCUUGGUGGAGGGUCAAGAAAAGGUUUAUAACCUAUUUGCAGGUUUUAGGCUCCUGUUUGCAGCACAGAAACCACAGACAAUAGAAAUUCAGACUCAGUGGUGUGGCAGAAGAUAAAAUAAUUUGGGUUAUUUCUGUGAUAACAUGGGCAAUCUGGAAACUACUCCCAUUUGUGAGGGUAAAUCUCUAUUAUGAUACAUGGAAAAUAGGACAGAUGCUAAUUCAGAGAGAAGGGGAAAAGAAACUCCAUCAAUCAAGCUAAAGGCAGCAAAGGAAAAUUUGAAAAGAAGCAACGAGACUGUUUAACAAAGAACAUCAAAUAAGAUGAUGGAACUAGAAGAAAAACACCAAUGUCCUUAAUUAUAUAAAAACAUCAAUGUCCUUAAUUAUAUAAAUUUUUAACCCUCAAUUGGGUUAAAAAAUCAGAUUUGUACUAAGAGAUGUAUCUUUAAAAGCAAAAGAAAGAAUAAAAAGAUCAACAAGUAAAACAAAGUAGGAGUCAGAAUUAAUAUUAGACAAAAUAAAGGUGAAAAAUACUAAAUGCAAGAAAUAAUAUUUUAGAUGACAAAAAUGUAUGAGCCAUAAAAAAGUCAUGAGUUUUUAUAAACCUAAAAUAUAGCUUUGAAAUAUAUAAAGCAAAAGCCAAAUUCAAUUCUAAAAUCACACUGAGAGUAUGAAACAAUUGUGAUAUACAUCUCUAUACUUAUCCUUUAGACCAAUAUAUAAUAUAAAUAUAUUAUUUAUAUUUCCAUGACUUAACUGAUUAUAUAAUCAGUUGAUCUAAAGGGUAAGUACAGAUAUAGGUACAUAACAGAUGACACUUAUGGAAUCCUCUUGAAAAUGAUAUGGUUUUUGACAUUUUGUUAGGACAGAAAAAUAGUGAUAAUUUUAAAAAUGGGAUAACAGUAUUGUGACUACAUUUAAAAUUUUGUCUUUAUCUUUUGGAGAUAUACUAUUUUAUGGGUGAAAUGACACACUGUUGGAGAUUGGCUUCAAAACAAACGGGAAAGGUUAAGGAGUGGGUGGGGUGUGAUUUGAUACCAUUACCUGGGUGAUGAGUACAUGUGCUCAUUGUUCUAUUUCUAUUUCUGUUACGUGUUUGAAAAUUUCCAAAAUAA